rnacentral:lncRNA from 1 species
AGCUGCUGCAGCUUAAUAUCUUGUUAUUUUUUGUCAUACAUUUCUGAAUUUUUUGGUCGUCCGUGCUCUUUAACUUUGCACUUGACUUGGCCUUUUAACUUAUUUAAAUCGAGCGUUCACCGAUCAGUGUUUUAGAUGAAAUGCGCACUUAAUGUUCAAAAUUUUAAGCUGGUACAUUUUGUGAAUUAAUUUGCUCUCACAAAACUUUUGUCUGUACCAAUUCCGGAGCGGGACGUUUGCGCUUUUUCAUAGGACAUUUGCGCUUUAUUUUUUUGGACACUUGCGCUUCAAAUCAUUGGACG